rnacentral:rRNA from 1 species
CCUACGGGAGGCAGCAGUGGGGAAUUUUGGACAAUGGGCGCAAGCCUGAUCCAGCAAUGCCGCGUGCAGGAUGAAGGCCUUCGGGUUGUAAACUGCUUUUGUACGGAACGAAACGGCCCUUUCUAAUACAAGGGGCUAAUGACGGUACCGUAAGAAUAAGCACCGGCUAACUACGUGCCAGCAGCCGCGGUAAUACGUAGGGUGCGAGCGUUAAUCGGAAUUACUGGGCGUAAAGCGUGCGCAGGCGGUUAUAUAAGACAGAUGUGAAAUCCCCGGGCUCAACCUGGGACCUGCAUUUGUGACUGUAUAGCUAGAGUACGGUAGAGGGGGAUGGAAUUCCGCGUGUAGCAGUGAAAUGCGUAGAUAUGCGGAGGAACACCGAUGGCGAAGGCAAUCCCCUGGACCUGUACUGACGCUCAUGCACGAAAGCGUGGGGAGCAAACAGGAUUAGAUACCCUGGUAGUCCACGCCCUAAACGAUGUCAACUGGUUGUUGGGUCUUCACUGACUCAGUAACGAAGCUAACGCGUGAAGUUGACCGCCUGGGGAGUACGGCCGCAAGGUUGAAACUUAAAGGAAUUGACGG